rnacentral:rRNA from 1 species
UACGUAGGGUGCAAGCGUUAAUCGGAAUUACUGGGCGUAAAGCGUGCGCAGGCGGUUUUGUAAGACUGUCGUGAAAUCCCCGGGCUUAACCUGGGAAUGGCGAUGGUGACUGCAAGGCUAGAGUUUGGCAGAGGGGGGUAGAAUUCCACGUGUAGCAGUGAAAUGCGUAGAUAUCGGGAGGAACACCGGUGGCGAAGGCGGCUCUCUGGACCGCAACUGACGCUGAGGCGCGAAAGCUAGGGGAGCAAACAGG